UGAUCAAACGAUAUUGCUUGGU
rnacentral:siRNA from 1 species